rnacentral:lncRNA from 1 species
CGAAAACUAAUAAUCAGUGGUAUUCUCAAUAGAGCCUUUCCAUUUAGUGUGGAUGCUGAUGCAGAUCUGAAAAAAAAUUGUUAAUGCAUCUAAAGAUACAGAAAACAAGUAUUUCUGAAUGGAAAGACCCAUGAUAUUGAAAAUUUUGAAAAAGAAGAGAAUUAGGAGAGGUUCCUUUAUGAAAAGGCAAAUAUAUUAAAUAUGUAAUGAUUAUAACUGUGGCAUAUUUUAGGAAUAAGCAGA